GUGCCACUGCUCUCCAGCCUGGGUGACAGAGCAAGAGUUUGUAUCAAAGAAAAAAAAAAAAGAGAGAGAGAGAGAAGGGUAUCCUGGACUUUUCGGGUGGCUCAAUAGAUAAUUAUUAGGAUCCUUAAAAUUGGAAGACAGAAUCAGAAGAGAGAUGCCAAUGUGAGGACUCAGCUCAGCCCUGAUAGCUUUGAAAAUGAAGGGGACCAUGAGUCAAAGAAUGUAGAAAGCCUCUACAAGCCAGAAACAGCAAAGAAACAGAUUCUUCCUGUGGAGAAAUGCAGAAAGGAAUGUACUCAUUCUGUUGACUUGAUCCUAGACCAGUGACAUCCAUGUUGGACUUCUGAUCUAUAGAACUGUGAGAUAAUUAAUUUGUGUUGUUUUAAGCCAGUAGAUUAUGGUAAUUUGUCAUAGCUUCAACAGGAAACAAAUAUAGUGAGUUUGUUUUUCCUGCCUGCAGUGCAAAUGCCAGCCUUAUAUUUUAAGCCUUUGUAGAAAGCCAUAUCCAUUGACAUGGUAUCCCACACAACAUUGCCUUGGGCCAAGGGAUCCAUUUUUUGGCAAAUGAGGUGCCCCACUGGGCUCAUUCAUAUAAAAUUGAUGUGUGUUCCUCAUAACUUGUAUAUAGACAGCUUGAUAAGAUGUGGAAUAGGCUCAGUUAAGCAUCAGCUCAGAGGCAGUCUUUAAGAGGUUAGUGCCAUAUAUGUGCUACACCUGCAACCUGAACGUGGAAUUGUGUCCCUGAUAGCAAGAAUAUUUGAGGUGAAGAAAAAAGAGAGGUAAGUAGGAUUUGUUCAUUCUCACUGCACUUCCAUUCUCCCACAUGCCUCUUAUCCUAGAAAAGUUAGGAGCUGAAAUCUCUACAUACUGCUUGGCUACUUUAGGAUUUCCCUGCCAGUAGAUCAUCAGGCAAAAAGGAGUUGCUCUAUAGACCGGGCUAAUUGAUCCCAAGUACUAUCAGGAACUAGGGUUUCUACUACACAAUGGGGGUAGAUGUGGGGAUUCACUGGCUCUUCCCUUGGUGCUUCUGUGCCCUCUGAUAUUUGUUAACAGGCAAUUGUAGCAAUAACAGCCUGACGAAGACAAGGUGACUAAGACCUCAGAUCCUUCCAAAAUGAAGGUCUGGAUCACGUUAUGAGACAAGAACUGCAGAUCAACUGGAAUUCUGGCCAAGGGCAAAGAAAAUCUAGAAUGGUUAAGGGAAGGGAGAGGUGAUGAAUGUCAAUAGGGCUAUUGGAUCAGCAAAAGCAGCUAGAGGUAUACCUUGGGUUGCUAACCCUCUAUACAUUGUUUUAGAAGUUGGCAACUGGCACAGUCUUGGAAGAUUCCAUUUUUUAUCUCCCCUCCAGGGAAGAAGUAAGGGCACCUUGCUCACUUAUAAGAUUCAUAUGUUAUUAGAGAGUGUAAGCGGAAUGGAGUGGCACUCGAUGAAUUUUAGCAGACUCAGUUUAUGCGUCAUUUCACGUCAGCCUGCCUCCCUUUCCUACCCACUCCAACCUCCGCUGUUUGCUUUGCUUUCUAUCUGGAUUGGUCCAAAGAGCAACUGCUCACACCACCACGCUGGGCUGCAGCCUCAGUCAUCCCAUCUCCUAAUACCUCCAGUCGUUUGUAUCUUCCCCGGGAAUUUAGGGCUGAGCUUUCGGGCAACCUUCAUCUCAUGCACUACAAUUCUGUAGAGAAGCUACAGUAGCUCGGUGCUUAGGUUCUCCUUGCAAGCAUGCCUGGAGACUCUAAUUUCUCUGUUGGUUGUCCAGGGUGGGGAAAUGAACUAUAGCAGAAGUGUGGGAAAAAUAAAUCCCCAAGAGUUGAACUUUGACCAAUGAGAGAUAGAAGACAGGAUCAGGUCAUCUGCUUACUCUUCCUCUUUCAUAGAUUUUUUUUUUUUUUUUUUUUUUUUUUAGCAGUGCUUUCCUUCCACCUUGUGAAACUGAGGCAUUGUCCAGACUUCCUCAAGAAGCUGUGGCCAGUUCAGUAACAGAUCAUCUUAUUUAUGCUUUUCCUCCUUUCUUGCCUCACUUUUCUUUUUCCUUCAUUCUUCAUCUCAAUACAAUUUUAAUGCUGAUGCUUUGCCUUAAACUCUGAUUUUUUAGAAAACCAGGGCUAAGAUAUUUUGCUUGAGUCAUGCUGAAAACUUGAACUGCAGGAGCCAAUGAAGGCGGUAAAGAGAGAGCUCUGGCCAGUGUUGAUGUGGAGUACUGGGGAACAUUUCUUCAUUCUAUUAUCAGUAAUCCCCAAGGGAAGUCUUACCAAACUGUUUCCUGGUUGCUCUCAUUUCUAAAUUUUGAGCCGGUGACUAGAGUUACUCAUAAGGUGGGUACUUUGUACUCAAUGACUUAAAUAAGUGCAUAUUUAUUUAUAUCUUUAAAUUAGUUUCCUUCUGCACCUCCUGUUCUAUGAAUUGUCACAGUUAAGCUGAAGAGGGUGAGUUCGAGCUGGAAAGACAGUUACUGUUUCUUGAGUUUAAAUUAAAUCCUUGACAUUACAAAACAUUGCAGAUACAUUACCAUUGUCGAUUGUGUCCUGUUCAUAUGUUUUUGCUAUUGCAUUAUUCAGAAUUAAGUUAAAAAUUCUUUUUUAUUGUGUUUGAAUGUUUCUAGGACAUGGACGAUCAAUAUUUCUAGCCUGUGCACACAUUCUACCUAAGGGCUGUGAGUCAUAUUUGCUUUGAAAGAAAUAGCACUUAAGGACUGUCAAUCAAGUCAGUUGUAAGAAACAUAGAACUCUUUAAGAAUUACUCUGCCUCCUCCUCACAUCUAAAUAUAGAUAACUGGUUGGAGUGUUUAAGACAGAUAGUGAAGCUGUAUUUUUAAAAUGGUGCAAUUGCAAUUAAUCAAUGAAAAUAAAAAGCUCAAGGUCUUUUUACCUAUACAUAUCAAAUAUAUAACUUUUAUUAAAUAAAAAAUUUUAUAACAUGAUAAGUUAUGAAUAUGCAUAAAGAAAUUACCUGGGUUCUUCAAGUCAUUUGUCAGUAUGAUAGUAUUUUACUUUCAUGGCUCCCUAUAAACUGGUUGGGAAAGCACUGGGGGGCAAGGUGUGUGAAGAUGGCAUUUCUAGUAUCCACUUGGCCAUUGUUUAAGUACAUAAAUCUGGAAAAACUACUGCCUUCAUCUCUUCCUUCCAAGGGCUGAGUUUCCUUUCAGACUUCGGGUUAAGGGUUACAUAUUAAGAAUUAACAAUGUCUCUUCAGGUUCAUUUCCUGUAUCUCUCUCUGUGAGAAGUUGGAGCUAAUAUCAAUAUAGCUUGAUAUAGAAGAAAUCCUCCUCUAACUCUACAGCUCAUUUACCCAAUUAAUGCUCUUGAAAGUAAAUAAAAGCAAAAUUCUUCCUGUAGUGUUUAAUAUAUUAAUGGCGUAACAACAAUUCACUUACCUUAGGCUCAUACCUGUGCUAGGUGUGUGUAUAUUUGAUCCACUCCAUGUAUGUACUGCUAUUUAUCUGUCACAUAAUUUAUAUUUACAAAGUGAUAUUUGGAUUCUUCUGGCAUAUUGCUGCCAGGAAUGCCAAUAAAGGAGCCAUACUGUUCCCUAAUAUCCUUGAUUAUAUUUGUGUCAGUGUCUACAGAGGUUAUAUCAGCAUACGGAACAAUGGACUGUACCAUUACAUUAGCACAAUUUUGCAGCAUCGCCUGGCAGAAGCUCACACUUAAUCCAAGAGAUUAUUCAACCCUAUCGAAUAUGAUUACUCUAUAAAUAUUUGCCCAAGCUCAGCACCAGCCGUUAUAUCACUAAUCACACAGAGGUACAUUUGGAUAAAGAAGCCAGAGAAGACUGGAAAAACUUGACAAAGAAAUAGUUCCAUUGGGAACUCUGAGUCAGGCAAUUUGAAGGAACUGGAAACUCAACAAAUAGGAAAGAAGUCAGGAUCAAAGGAGGUGAUAUAAUCAAAUAAUAGUAAUAAAUACAAGAGAAUACUUUCUAUGUGCCAGGCCCUGUUUUAAGCAUUAUUUAUUUAUUUAAUAAUCACAAAAAUCCCAUGAGGUAGGUACAAUUAUUAUCUCUAGUUUACAGAAGGGAAAUAUAUGGUAUAGAGAGGUCAAAUAACUUAUUGAAGGUAAUAUGUGUGUGUGUGUGUGUGUGUGUGUGUGUGUGUGUGUGUGUGCGCGUGUGGGUGUGGGUAGGGGGCGUGUAUGGCACAUAUAUAUAUUGCAGAAAUGAAAUUCAACCCCAGUCAACCACCUGGCUCCAGAAAUAAACCAUAAAAGGAAGCAGAGGGAACAAAGAGUCAUAGAAAAUUGCUAUGUCUUAGUGGACAUUUGUUUAUUGCCUGGAAUACAAGCAUCCCUACCCCAUUCUUAAAACUCUUCCCAAGUUUCCCAGUUGAUACAUGACUAAAACUUACUUCCAUCCCUGCCUCUGCAGGUAGGCUUAUCCAGGGUCAGAAAUUUAGUGCAUUUCAUCUACUUUUAGAGAUAGAUAUCAGAUCCAAUUAAAACAAAUUAGGGUCAAGAAGGUUUAAUUCUGUGACUUAAUAUGCUCGUAGGGUCUGACAUAUCUCCCACACAUGAGCAGAGAGUUUUCCUGGAAUGCAGUCAACACCAAGGAAGCAGGGCAGAGAAAUGGGGAGAAAUCCUAAUUUCAUUUUAUGACAUUUGACUCAAGACCUUACAGAAAUUAGAUAUACUUGUGGACUACCUAAUUAUAUGAGUUAGUAAAUCCCUUUUAGUUGAAUUUGUAUAGGGUAUUCUCAUACUUGCAAUAUAAAAAAAUUUAACAAAUAUACAGAGAGAAGUCAGGCAGGGAAAGAUCCCAAAGUCUUUGCGAUCAGCUUCAGGACGCAGGUAGUUACCAUGCUCUUUCAUAUUCAGACCAUGGCAGCUGUUUAUUAGAUGGAUUUAGGAUAGCAUUGCAGACAUUUUCUUGUUUUUCUGUGUGCAGAGAAAAGUCUAGUUGACCGUUUCUGGCAGAUGAAUUAUUGCCUACUUCAUGAUUUUGUCUAAGACCCACCUAAUGACUAACAAGUAAAGAGAAGGAUGUGGUCAUAAUCAACUAAAUCAAAACCAGAAAUCUUGAAGGAUUUGUGACCAAAGUUAUAGUAAUAGACUACAAAAUCAUUAAUCUCAAAGUCCAAUGAAAAAUAAUCUUGAAAGAAUCCCCUCUAUAAACAUUUCACUUUUUUUCUCAGUCCAAGUCAAUCUCCUUGUAUUUCUGGUGACUCUUUUUUUGCUCAUAUUGUCCUUGAUAUGGCCCCCUUUCCCUGACUUUCUAUCCAAUGGUACUGGGAUGAGAUGUUCUUUAAAAGCGUUUUUUGGUUUGUCUUCACCAACGUUGGUCUUUCCUUUUUCUAAGCCACUGAAGUUGAUAUUGUGACAGAAUUGUGGAUGAUGGGCUCAGGUUGCUCCUCAAUAGUAUGUGUUCGUCCAGGCCCUUGGUCCCUCACUCACCCAAGAAGGGGGGAGAGGACCCCACUGGGCACAAUGAGCUCAUUCAAGUAAAUAUCAGACCCCAAAGAGUUUUGCAGAAGUGAUUUAUUUAUGCAGAGAGAGAGAGAAAGAAAUAGAGCGAGCGAGCUCCCACGCUGUCAUAGGAGAGGAUCCAAAGAUGGAGUCUGCACAGAUGAGAGAGAAGGGGACUUUUAACCUGGGAGUUAUUCCCGCCCCAUUUAAGUUUUUUGUUCUAUGAAAGUAGUUCAUUUAAAUUUCUGGUGGAGCGAUUGAUCUUUGAUUUCUGACAUCUGAUUUGUUGUUUGGCCCACUGUCCUCCCAUAGCUUUUUGAAGACUUUUCUAAACAAAGGAAGCUCACCUGGGCAGUCUAUCUUCCCGUGUGCAAAAGUUAAACAAAGAUCUCUAAGCUCCCAGAUGGAGAUGUGAAAAAAGGCAGGCCGGGAAUGUUGCUAGGAAGUUCUUGCCUUUGAAAUCCGAGAAGUGAAGUUAAUUACAUUCCCUCAGUAUUACCUGUUCUAUUCAUAAGCGUGUAGUUAUUUAUUCUCUUAGUACCUUGUACACUUGUGUAUGUGUGAAGGAGAAAGCAAGAGAGAGGUAUUACCCAACCUGAUUCUUAGAGGACCAAGAUGGAAUGAACUCAAGCUCUAUUCCCUGCACAGAGCAAGACAGAAAACAGAAGAAUAGGGGGAGGGUGUAGAUUUGUUACUCAGCCUGAGGAUGGUAAAUUCAGAGACAGGCAUGUGGAGGCUGGAGUGCUUUCAACUGCAAAAUCAGGCCAGAUGUGGAAUAGUCAGAAAAUGUGUAUCUUCAGGUUCAAAUAAAUCCUCACUAUCUGUCAAAGGAGAAGCAAUAUAGGUGAUGAGAAGAUGGCUGAACAACAGGCCAGGCAUUGAGGACAAGCCCUGGGGAGGUCCAGAGCAUAGCCAUUGAGUGACGGGGUUCUUGGUAGGAAAAGCCUUUCCUAGCGUCCGGAAUGAAGCAGGACCCUAGACUUUAAAGACUGGGUGUAAGCAGAGUGUAGGAGCUCUAGGAUUCAAACUGGAUGUAUGUUGCAGUCUGAAAUUAGGUCCCAGAAAUGUCAUGCUCUAAAAUAAUCACAAAGAAGGAUUAGGACAAUGAUACAAUAGAUAGAUCCUUAGACCAAGAACAUGUACAUUCUAGUUACUAGCUGAGUAAUGUAGAACAGGUUACAACAGCCUCUCUGUGCUUCAAUUCCUCUCCAGUUAAAAGGAGAAGUUGGUCUAGAUAAACCCCCAGAUGGCAUGGAGAUGCUUCAGGGAUUUCCUAACCAAAGAGUUACUUAUUUUCUCCAGCCAUUAACUAUUUUAAAACAUCUGAAAGACUUGCAUAUUGCUAUCAAUUAUUUUAAAUAUUAAGGUUAUCUUUAACAUUUCGUUUGAAUGCAGAACCCUAUGGGAAAACAUAGUUUGAAAACUACUUGAUCUAAUACUAGCAGGGUGUGUUUCAGUGAUAGGAAUAUAAGGACUGAGAUGAUCUAUUCUAGCAAAUAAUCCUAGGUGGUAAGUGUUCUGUAAUUUUUGUUGCUAUCACUUAAGAGGAUCUUGGGAGUAAAGGGCCUUAAGUACUGUUGGUAAAGGACAUAAUACAAUAUUUAUAUUUCUGAUCACAUGUAUUUAUUAUUGCAUUUCAUAUGUACAUACUAUAUAUCAUAAUGAACAUUUUGAAAAAAGAGAUAAGGAAGAAUAUGGAUACACAAAUAUACAUUUAUACAUGUAUGUAUGUAUAAGUGUGUGUGUGUAUCUAGCUUUUCAACAAACUUAGGGCCAUGGUUUGUAGUCAAGAGUGAGUUAGCAUGGUCUAGUAGGAGUGUUAAAAUUACAAAAGUAAUCAAAUUACAAGAUAACAUAAACAUGUCAUAAAACAGUUUAGUAUAAUCUAUUACAGAAGUUCAGCAGAGAAUGAAAUCACUUUUAACCGGGUGAGAGUUUCAGAAUUAAGAAGCAGUAGGAGGUAGGUUAGGCUAUCUAGAUUUAGAGAGACUGAUAUAAGAAAAAAGACACUUACAGCCAGGACAGAGGACAGGUAUGGCAAUGGAAGUAAGUGGAACAUGCGAAAGUUAACCACCUCCACACAUUUAUCCUUACAAUCUAUUCUUCUACUUUCUCUGCCUCAUCAUGAAUUUCAUAUACAGUUAAGAUAGCGGUAAUUUUUCUACUGGCUCCAUAAUACCUAUUUUGUCCUUCCUAAGACCUUGUUCACAGGGAUUGUGAAGGAGUGAGGCUUCAUGGUGUUCACAGGAAAGCUGUCAUCGCUGUUAACAUGGUGCACCCUGUUUGCAGAUCUCAUUUGAAGCAAGGAGCAUUUAAAAAAAAUCAGGAUAGGAGCUUUAAACGCUGUCUCUAUAUUUCCAAUCCUGUUUGAAUAAGAGAACAGAAGAAAACGAUUUUUCUCUUCCAAAAAGAUGGCAGACAUGGAGGGCAUCAUUUUUCAUAGCCAGUCAGCAUUUAUAGAUGAUAUUGAAAAGAAAAGCCUCCUGUGUAAGUCAUAUAUAAACUUCCAUAAACAGAAUGGCCUCUGAGCAAAUCUCCAAUUAAAGAUUGAGACUUCCCAAUACAGUUUCUGUAGUAAGAUGCAGCAUAGAUUUUGCUGGCAUAAAAAGAAAACACACAGAAGAAAAAAAACCACUUGGACUCAAGUUAUUGCCAAUUAUUGAGUAAUUGAAUCAAAUGAUUGCCAGUUUCUUCCCAAGGAGGAACUGGAACUGUGAUAAAAACCUGCUCUACGCUCAUUGUACAUUAGUUGUUUAGCCAAGAUGUGGCUAUGCUGGAGGGACCCCUCUGUUCUCAACCCAUCCAUUGAAGCCCAGGUCCAUACUGUCAUGAUUCGCCUAGGCAAAUAGACUAGACUUGCCUAGGUCAAAAAAAGGAAAAUCAAUUUCCUAAGACUUUACAGAGAGCGGAAUACUCCACUGAAGACAGUAUGGGGAAAGGAGAGGAGGGUUACAUUAGACAUUAUGUCUAAAAACUUAAUAAAAAUCUCUGUUAGAAAAGAGAGACUGGGAGGGGUGAGUGGGGAGGACAAAGAGAAGUGAGUUAAAGGGUACAAACAUACAAUUGAAUGUUUGAUAACAGAACAGGGUGACUAUAGUUAAAAAAGUAUAUUGUGCUUGGGAUAUGGACACCGUAAAUACCCUGCUUUGAUCACUGUGCAUUAUAUACUUUAACACAAUUUUACAUAUACCCCAUAAAUUUGUGCAAAAAAA